rnacentral:rRNA from 1 species
UGAGCAACCUGCCCUUGACACUGGAAUAACAGCUGGAAACAGCUGCUAAUACCGGAUACGACCUUCGAUGACAUCAUCUGGAGGUGGAAAGCUCCGGCGGUCAAGGAUGGGCUCGCGGCCUAUCAGCUUGUUGGUGAGGUAACGGCUCACCAAGGCUUCGACGGGUAGCCGGCCUGAGAGGGCGACCGGCCACACUGGGACUGAGAUACGGCCCAGACUCUACCGGGAGG